CAAAUUCAUAAUUCCAUUAUGAAAUCGGAAUGGUGCAAUAGCUGUGGAAGAACAUGUAAGAUUUAUAAGUCCUACUCCAGGAUAUGUUGCGACUCAUGCGGCAGAGUUCUUUUAGAGGAUACAUAUGAGGAUGGAAUUAAGAUGCGAAUAGAUGAUUGGUAUGCUACCUUGUCCAAUAUAGUGAUCGAUGAAAGUGAGUCUGACUCGGAUGGUAGCUCGUCCUCGUCCUUGUCCACUUCGUCUGUCGAGCAGCGAAUUCCCGAGAUCGAGCCUUCAUUGUCGACCCCAAAGCAAAAGAGAAAUUUUAGAAUAAGGAGUUAAAUUCGCUUACCUUUAGUAAUUAGGGAUUCAAUUCGCCGACCUUUCGUAAUUUGGGAUCGAGAUAUGCUUAUUCUUCAUAAUAAGGGAUUUAUGAUAUUUUAACUUAUUUAUGUUCUUUUUUAAUAUUAUUUCCCUCUAACCAUUUAUCAAUUGCCUAAAUUACCUCCUUCAAAUUUUUACCUAAAUUCUACUACUUCAUCAAAAAUUCAAAGCCGUUUCCGUGACCUCUCCCAAAUCACCCGCCUUUUUUAUUCCAAACCUGCCUCCACCCUUCUCCUCUCCCCUACACGGCGCCUCCAAAUGAAUGUUCCGUAUAUUCUUCUCUUUGAUUUUACAGUGGAGUUGCUUGAUUUUGUGUAUGUAGUGCCUGUGCCAGUGCAAGAACAUAAAUUCUAUAUGAUGCUUUAACUUGGGAUGCCAUAUAACGAAGUAGUUUUGUGUUUAAAUUUUCUAUAGUUUAAUCGGUAUGUAUUCCUAAAACUAUCUGGAUUUAUAUUUUAGGAUAAUUAACAAAGCCAUUGCAUGCGAUGCAGAGAUCAUUGUUUACUGGAUUAGGAUUGUACUAGUAUAUUUAACUGAUUUACUGCUUUGGAUUCCUCAGAAAGACUUUAAAGUUGAUUGAGUGCACAAUUAGGUCUUACUAUCUCUUUCUCCAGCUAUCUUAUUUUGCUUCUAGUUCACAAUUUUUACCUACUACUUUUCUUACUAGCACUUACAAAUUAGUCAUAGCUAUCUCCUUGUUGAGAUAGGAAUUGAGUGAUUGCAAAGGCUGUCGGCUGC